rnacentral:rRNA from 1 species
GACGAACGCUGGCGGCGUGCUUAACACAUGCAAGUCGAACGGAAAGGCCCUGCUUGCAGGGUACUCGAGUGGCGAACGGGUGAGUAACACGUGGGUGAUCUGCCCUGCACUUCGGGAUAAGCUUGGGAAACUGGGUCUAAUACCGGAUAGGAGCCAUCUUUAGUGUGGUGGUUGGAAAGUUUUUCCGGUGUAGGAUGAGCUCGCGGCCUAUCAGCUUGUUGGUGGGGUAAUGGCCUACCAAGGCGGCGACGGGUAGCCGGCCUGAGAGGGUGUACGGCCACAUUGGGACUGAGAUACGGCCCAGACUCCUACGGGAGGCAGCAGUGGGGAAUAUUGCACAAUGGGCGCAAGCCUGAUGCAGCGACGCCGCGUGGGGGAUGAAGGCCUUCGGGUUGUAAACUCCUUUCGCUAGGGACGAAGCUUUUUGUGACGGUACCUAGAUAAGAAGCACCGGCUAACUACGUG